rnacentral:rRNA from 1 species
AUGAAAUCUACGCAAAGAAGCGAGAGUAUGAAUGCACUAUUGAAGCGAUACUUGCAUGUUCGCCUUGAUUUAUUAGAUUUCUUCAAGCACUAUGAGAGGGCCGUAGAUGAUAGAAGGUAUGCUGAAGUGGAAAGUGAUUUCUAUGCGAGUCAAACAUCACCAAAAGUGCCACAUGUGCAGAUGUUGAUUCAAACUUCCAAAGUAUAUACACCUGCUAUGUUCGAGGUAUUUAAAGAAGAAUUUGACAUGGUAAUGGGAUAUUGUGUGUAUGAAAGUGGCCGUACUGCCUCUAUUUCUGAAUUCAAGGUUACCCAUUCAGCUAGCCAAAAUAGUCAUACAGUGAAAUUUGAUCACGAUGGAUCAAAAGUUUCCUGCUCAUGCAAAAAGUUUGAAUUUAUUGGGGUCUUGCGUCGUCAUGCAUUGAAGGUGUUGGACCACAACAAUAUUAAGGAGUUGGCACCGGAAUAUAUCUUGAAAAGAUGGACAAGGCAAGCAAAAUCAGGGCCAUCAUAUGCAAUUCAAAAGUGCGCUGAUGAUGAAGAUGCUAGAGUUGUGCUAGCUAGGCAGUAUGGAUCACUAUGUCGCACUUACAAUAACAUUUUGAGCAAAGCAGCAGCAAACAAAGAGGCAUAUGCACUACUACAAAGUAUGUCAAUAGAACUAAUGGAAAAGGUGGACCAGAUUUUACAUGGAAGCAACCAAUCGAAAGAUAUACCAUCAAAUCAUGAACAAGCUGAGAAACAAGCAGAGAAACAGCCAGUUAAAUGCAACAAUGAGAAUGUUGUCCAAGCAAAAGGAAUAAGGAGAAAAGAAAAAGGAAAUAGCAGUAAGAGGAUUAAAUUUGGAUUGGAACUAAACAAAAAGAAUACACACAAGAAAGGUCAAGCAACAACAUGCAAGAAUAAGAAUGGUGAUUGUGCUUCUGCCUCAACUGAAGCAAAUCCUAGCUUCACCAUGUCAAAUCAGUACUCCAACUUGCAAGUACUGCAGAGUGCCAUGCCUCUAGUACCACAUGCUACGAACUACAGUUUGCAAGUAUCAUCGCACGCUAUGCCUCCACUACCACAUGCUGCGAACUACAGUUCGCAAGUAUUGUCGCACGCUAUCCCUCCGAACCCACAAGCUACGAACUACAAUUCGCAAGUAUUUCCGCGCGCUAUGCCUCCGCACCCACAAGCUACAAACUCCAAUUUGCAAGUAUUGCCGCAUGCUAUGCCUCCGCAACCACAGGCAGAAAACUACAAUUUGCAUCUACUUCCUCAGACCAUGACACCAGUGCCACAGCCACAGAAUUAUAAUUUGCAAGUACUGCAUCACGGCCUGCCUCAACUACCGCAGGCAGAUGCUACUUCUUUUCAGCAGUUACUCGGCUUGCAACCACAACAACCAUAUUUCUAUUAUGGCACUCAACCAAGUCAGAGUUCUGUAUUGAUACCGAACUCGGAAUGGCCAGCAUAUCAAAAUGACCAGCUGCCGACUAAGGACUUGGGUAGCCAAUCAAGCCAUGGACAAGAUAGCACUUUUAAAUAG